GAAGGAAGUUGAAAUCGCGCUGGAAAACAUGGCCCUCCCGAGGCGUUCCCGGCGCUGCCGAUCCGCGUUUGUCAAUUUCUCUUAGGGAGUCCCCAAAAGGCCGGCCGGAAAAACUCACCUCCCUCCGCGUGUAGAAAGGCCCAGCUCGCCCUCCAGGAAGCCCCCGAGGAAAGUCUCAACUUCUGCCAAAGCCCCAAGCCAGCAAAGCUUUCUGAAUUACAACAGUCAUUUUACAGCAAAAGAAAAAGGAAACUGUGCAAAAAGCAGUGCAAAUACAUGAUGCAACAUUACCCUGGUUACAUGUGCCUUCCAUCCCCCAAUCUCUUACUGCAUACAGCUGACCAUACUGAAAUACCAGUUUCUCCAGAUAAAUCAGCACAUUCUCCAUGGUUUCUCAUUGUGCUUUAUGUAUACUGGCAGCAAAGCAUGACUGCAUUGGAAACUGUGUCUGCUGAAGACAGACAACUUCACUUUCUAAUAAAUUGAAUGUAAUUGGAA